rnacentral:rRNA from 1 species
UACGGAGGAUGCGAGCGUUAUCCGGAUUUAUUGGGUUUAAAGGGUGCGUAGGCGGUCCGUUAAGUCAGCGGUAAAAUUGCGGGGCUCAACCCCGUCGUGCCGUUGAAACUGGCGUUCUUGAGUGAGCGAGAAGUAUGCGGAAUGCGUGGUGUAGCGGUGAAAUGCAUAGAUAUCACACAGAACACCGAUUGCGAAGGCAUCUCACGAAUCCGCUAUUGACGCUGAUGCACGAAAGCGUGGGUAUCAAACAGG